rnacentral:rRNA from 1 species
GAUGAACGCUGGCGGCGUGCCUAAUACAUGCAAGUAGAACGCUGAAGCUUGGUGCUUGCACCGAGCGGAUGAGUUGCGAACGGGUGAGUAACGCGUAGGUAACCUGCCUCUUAGCGGGGGAUAACUAUUGGAAACGAUAGCUAAUACCGCAUAAAAGUCGAUAUCGCAUGAUAUUGAUUUGAAAGGUGCAAAUGCAUCACUAAGAGAUGGACCUGCGUUGUAUUAGCUAGUUGGUGAGGUAACGGCUCACCAAGGCGACGAUACAUAGCCGACCUGAGAGGGUGAUCGGCCACACUGGGACUGAGACACGGCCCAGACUCCUACGGGAGGCAGCAGUAGGGAAUCUUCAGCAAUGGGGGCAACCCUGACCGAGCAACGCCGCGUGAGUGAAGAAGGUUUUCGGAUCGUAAAGCUCUGUUGUAAGAGAAGAACGAGUGUGAGAGUGGAAAGUUCACACUGUGACGGUAACUUACCAGAAAGGGACGGCUAACUACGUG